CCGGCGGUGAGACCCCGGCGCGGGGCCCAAUGGGGGACGGCCGCGGCGGGCGAGGCGGGACUUCCGGCAGGGUCACGAAGGGGGCGGGCGCGCUGGGGGCCCUGGGGGGCGCUGAGGGAGCGAGUCUGAGCGUCUGGGCUCUCGCAGAGAGUUAGCAUCUGGAGUGUGAGAGCGGCAGGGCGUUCGGGUCCUCUGCGCGCCUGACCCGCUCCUCCCGCUGCGAGUGAACAGGCCGGAUCAGGGCUGAGCCAGGAACGAAAUCCAGCUCGCGCUCCGGGCUUCCACCCGCCUUCCUCGCCGCGGCUCGUUGCCACGCCUCUUCUCUUCUCCAUCUCUGAUUUUGUUUCUUUAGGGAGAUGAGAAUUUCUGCCUCACGAGAUUGUUACGAGGAUGAAAUCUACGUGAUGGCGCGUUGUAAACGGUACAACGCUAGGGAAAGGACAAGGUGGCACUUGAAACUCGGAGUGCUGUUGGGCAGGUCUGAAGGUCCCGCCCCCUCCGCCUCCGCCCUCACGUCUCAGAAGUGAGAAAGGGCCUUAUCCACGUUAUAUGCAGCAGUCCUCCAGGAACAAGGAGCUGUAAUCUUGCUGAGCUAUGGAUCCAGAAACAGAGGCAGUCUGGAGUUUUUAACUUAAAAGUCACUGGCAAUCACCAUUCUACUGUCUGUGUUUAAGAUUUGACUACUCGGGCUUCCCUGGUGGCGCAGUGGUUGACAGUCUGCCUGUCGAUGCAGGCGACGCAGGUUCGUGCCCG